UAGGAAUACUGGAAGACUUCCUACAAGGAGUGAGAAGUUGGGUGUUUUCACAUUCCUCUCAACUUUGACGACACUGAAAAGUUUUUAUGUGGUGGCCAUGACAAAGUCCAGAUGCUCCGGACCCCCAGGAACAGUUUCUGAGCAUGAAGAACCAGGCUCCUUUGUGGGAUGACACAUCGCAAGCCCUUUCAGAAGAGCCUGCAUGCACAGGAGUGUCUCUCCUAUGGGACAGAGGCACAUCCCAUCUGGAUGUCCCCAAGAAACAUCACUUCUGCUCUACAGAGAGCAAAGGUCACUAUCAUGACCACACAGAGGAUAAUGACCCAGGGCCUGAAGACCCCCAGGGACGUCUGGACUUUGAAGAUACACAGGCCACAGAAUGAGGAAGUAGCUCUGGAUGCGCAAGACAGAGUUGGGAAACAGAACAGAACAACGUAAAUAAUGAACAGAACAGUGUUCUCACUUCCUAUCCAGUCACCUACGAUGGCCACACUGCUAUUCUCCCCCUGGGGGAAACGACACACCGCCAUGUGUCCUGUGCUAUGGAGUCUGAGCUCACUUAUAGUCUGUGCUUCAAUAGAUUUGUGGAGAAGGACCCUGCAGUCCAUUGGUAUGGAAGAAGUAACCUUUCCCCUAGAUACUGGGAGAACCCCCAAAAUAGUGAAAAUAAACAAAAGUGCUUUGAAGGUCCCAGAGGUGUCCCCAUCCCAAACGGAUGCCACACUUUGCCUGCUGCAGCACAGUUCGGGGCCAACUCACAGACUGCAGAAACCACGCAUGAGAUGCCAUUCUGAGGGGCCACAUACACCUUUACCUGAAGGGAGUUCAAGCCUGGUUAGUAGCUUGCAAUUCCUGGCUGCCUACCAGGUCUCAGGAUAGGAGUCAAGUCUACUUAGAGUUUCAUGUGGGUUGACUUAACCAUAAACUAAGCAGGCAGCCUGGUGAAAUCUGAGCAUUUUGGUUGUGUUUUAAGAUCUGGAGGUGGUAGAAGGAAAAAGACACCCUUUGAAUUCCUUCAGUGUCUGUUAGUCACUCACUGAUCAAGUUUUAUGCACUGGGCAUGUAGUAGGACCCUGAAAACCAUGACCUGUCUGUGCUAGCCACGAGCUAGAAUGUACACAACAGUAGCAUCCAAGAUGAAUAGCCUCCCACAGCGCCUGGGUGGGGCUGCAGACGCAAGAACACUGGCUACUUUGGCUCCUGAGUUACCAGAUUCCAGAGUCUGUAUUAGAAGGAAAGACGGAAAUCUUUUUUUCCCUCCAGAGAGAGGUUAAUACUCAGGGAGGAAGUGUCCCCUUGUAUGCACCUGCUGACAGGCUUUCCAAAGGCUGCUGUUAGGGAAUUUUCUUCCUUGAAAUUCCUCCAGGGCUGGGUGCAGGGAAGCCACCAAAUGGGACUGGACUUCCCCAUGACUCAUGGAUAAGAUUGGACCUAACCUGUUUUCGGCUUGGUAAACUGAGGUCCACAAUAGGGAUAGAACAGUGAUCACGCCCAAGUGGAACUCUGGGCUCUGAUUCUCUGACUUACACUGAACCCCUGCCUACACAAAACAGAAGGUUGUCUAACAGGGCUUUCCGUGCUUUUCAGUAGAAUAGCUGAGACACAAGGACCACAGAACUCCUCUCACAAGUUCUGGGUCCCAUUUGUGAGACUUUAUGCCUUCACCCACGGAAGAAGCCAGCCCCAUGCAGAACCUACACUGGCAGCAUUGUCUCUUACGGGGUCUCGCCACUAGGAAACCCAGAGUUCCUCAAUACCUAA